rnacentral:rRNA from 1 species
AGAGUUUGAUCAUGGCUCAGAACGAACGCUGGCGGCAGGCUUAACACAUGCAAGUCGAACGCCCCGCAAGGGGAGUGGCAGACGGGUGAGUAACGCGUGGGAAUCUACCCAGAUCUACGGAACAACAGAGGGAAACUUCUGCUAAUACCGUAUACGCCCUACGGGGGAAAGAUUUAUCGGAUUUGGAUGAGCCCGCGUAAGAUUAGCUAGUUGGUGAGGUAAUGGCUCACCAAGGCGACGAUCUUUAGCUGGUCUGAGAGGAUGAUCAGCCACACUGGGACUGAGACACGGCCCAGACUCCUACGGGAGGCAGCAGUGGGGAAUAUUGGACAAUGGGCGCAAGCCUGAUCCAGCCAUGCCGCGUGAGUGAUGAAGGCCUUAGGGUUGUAAAGCUCUUUCAGUAGGGAAGAUAAUGACGGUACCUACAGAAGAAGCCCCGGCUAACUUCGUGCCAGCAGCCGCGGUAAUACGAAGGGGGCUAGCGUUGUUCGGAUUUACUGGGCGUAAAGCGCACGUAGGCGGAAUGUUAAGUCAGAGGUGAAAUCCUGGAGCUCAACUCCAGAACUGCCUUUGAUACUGGCAAUCUAGAGUCCGGAAGAGGUGAGUGGAACUCCUAGUGUAGAGGUGGAAUUCGUAGAUAUUAGGAAGAACACCAGUGGCGAAGGCGGCUCACUGGUCCGGUACUGACGCUGAGGUGCGAAAGCGUGGGGAGCAAACAGGAUUAGAUACCCCGGUAGUCC